GUGAUGAAAUCCCCAGAGUGGUCCUCGGGUCCCACAGUGGGUGCUCAGGGAUGUAGGCUGUAGGGCUCCAGGCUCUGAGUUGAGGAAAAUUGGAGUUAAAUUUCAGUGAAGUAACCCUGAGCAAGUCAGUCUCUGUCCAUCAGGUUCUUUUGUUUGUAAAAUGGAGGUAGCCAUGAGGAUUGUUCUGAGAAUGAGUUAAAUGGAAAGAUAUGCUCAAGAUGCCAGCGCAAAGCCAGAGACUCAAGGUUCGCAGCUGGUUGGAGCAAACCUCAAUGUCAGUGUGAAUCUUCCACCAUGGGAUUCAAGCUGCCUUGGCUCUAAAGUAAGAUCACAGCUGCAGUGAGCUGACCCCAACUCAAGAUGGAACCAUCUUAGAACAAGCUCUUAGGAUAAAAAGCCAAAGCUCUCUAAUGUGUUCUGUGAUAAAGAAGACUAUGGAACUGACAGUCCAAACCGAGAAACUGGGGAGAGAGAGGAGGCAUUAUUGUCAACUCCAGGUCAUCCAACCUGUUUUAAGCUUUUUGUCAGCAAGAACCAGCCCUAUUUUAUUCAGCCCUGGAGCGGCCUCUCCACCAGGCACACAGCUUAGCACAAAGCAGGCCUCAGAUGCACGCUGGACAAAUGUGCUGGUAUCCUCUGCAUCCUUAUGGCCAGCAUGAUCCAUCCAGAAACCCAGUGGAACUGAGCCGCGAGCUGGAUUCCAGCUCACAGAACACACCAAGAACUCUGGUGAAACAUCAAGAACUCUGGGGGGUCCCCCCAGAAAAAUCUGGGGGGCACUGCAGAGCUUCUGACACGGCUCUGGGGGAAAUCCCACACGGAUGGGCAGCUGCCUGCAUCUGGCACUGUGGAGGUGGGCGGGCAGCCAUGGAGGAUGGGGAGACUCAUCUUUCUAGACUUCUCCUGGGGACCGCAUUUCCUCCAGCCUCCAGGUCCAGACCAAAAUAGAAUGAGGUAAAUUCAGCCCCUUUCCUGAAGCACACUCAAGGAAUAAACAAGCACCACAAAUACA